rnacentral:rRNA from 1 species
GCAAAACGCGAAGAACCUUACCCACCUUUGACAUGUACGGAAUCCUUUAGAGAUAGAGGAGUGCUCGAAAGAGAGCCGUAACACAGGUGCUGCAUGGCUGUCGUCAGCUCGUGUCGUGAGAUGUUGGGUUAAGUCCCGCAACGAGCGCAACCCUUGCCAUUAGUUGCUACGAAAGGGCACUCUAAUGGGACUGCCGGUGACAAACCGGAGGAAGGUGGGGAUGACGUCAAGUCCUCAUGGCCCUUAUAGGUGGGGCUACACAUGUCAUACAAUGGCUGGUACAAAGGGUUGCCAACCCGCGAGGGGGAGCUAAUCCCAUAAAGCCAGUCGUAGUCCGGAUCGCAGUCUGCAACUCGACUGCGUGAAGUCGGAAUCGCUAGUAAUCGUGGAUCAGAAUGUCACGGUGAAUACGUUCCCGGGUCUUGUACACACCG